CUAGCUGUAAACGAUGGAUACUAGGCGUUGAGAGUAUCGACCCUCUCAGUAUCGUAGCUAACGCGUUAAGUAUCCCGCCUGGGGAGUACGCGCGCAAGCGUGAAACUCAAAGGAAUUGACGGGGGCCCGCACAAGCGGUGGAGUAUGUGGUUUAAUUCGAUGCAACGCGAAGAACCUUACCAGGGCUUGACAUGUCCGGAACCCUGCCCAAAGGCGGGGGUGCCUACGGGAACCGGAACACAGGUGGUGC
rnacentral:rRNA from 1 species